AUAUAUUUACUACAUUUCUCCCCGUACGAUAGCACUUCGAAGCUCACAUCACAGUUGAAUUUUUUCCCAUAAUCGGAAAGUUAGGUUAUUAUUGAAUUUCCAGAUAUGAAAGACAGUUCUUGGACGUGAAUCUGUUUCAAAAUCGGAUGUAAUAACGGAUAGUUUAUUUCUUCACUAAUAAUACUUAUUUUUCAGGCACAUAUGAAUUAAUCAUAUCAAGAAAUGUAUGAAAUUCAUAAAUGUCAAAUAUCAUCUCUCGGAAAGUCUUAUUUUAAAUAAAAAAAGCUUCUUCUGGGGUAAGCUUCUGAGCAAUUGGUUCAGAAGAGUUUCUAUUUGAAGUAUAUGAUCCAUUUGUCAAGUUUACAUAAUGGAUGUCAGAUUAAAUUACAUGCAAACUCACAGAAUGAGAAACAUCCUUAAUCUUGGUGUAUGAACAUAAGAAUUUCUAGAUAACAAACGGUUCUUGGGGGCAUAUAUAAAUUUAUCAGAUCAAGAAAUGUAUAAUAUCAUCUCUUGGACAGUGUUAUUUGGUAAA